AUGAACGCUAGCGACAGGCCUAACACAUGCAAGUCGAGAGGCAGCACAAGGAGCAAUCUGAGGUGGCGACCGGCGCACGGGUGAGUAACACGUAUGCAACCUGCCUGUAAGCGGGGAAUAACCCGUUGAAAGACGGACUAAUACCGCAUAAUACUAAAUUACUGCAUGGUAAUUUAUUUAAACAUUUAUGGCUUACAGAUGGGCAUGCGCAUGAUUAGCUAGUUGGAGAGGUAACGGCUCCCCAAGGCAACGAUCAUUAGGGGUUCUGAGAGGAAGGUCCCCCCACACUGGUACUGGGACACGGACCAGACUCCUACGGGAGGCAGCAGUGAGGAAUAUUGGUCAAUGGACGAGAGUCUGAACCAGCCAAGUCGCGUGCAGGAAGAAUGUCCCUAUGGAUUGUAAACUGCUUUUGCAGGGGAAUAAAGUGCAUCACGUGUGAUGUUUUGUAUGUACUCUGCGAAUAAGGAUCGGCUAACUCCGUGCCAGCCGCCGC
rnacentral:rRNA from 1 species